CACAGUCAUUUAAGACAAAAUUGGAAUUAAGCAAGUUCAUCACCAUGAUGAUGUUCACCUGUUCAGCCUUGCAUGCAGCUGUCAACUUUUCUCAGGUGCCCUUGUGCCAGUACCGUGAGUGGUACUUCAGAAGUGGUGACCAUCACAGGCUCGUGGAGAUGGUACUAAAAGAGCUAGGAGCCAUUGCUGAUGACAUUAUCAAGAGAAUCCACGAUUCAACCCCCCACAGCACUGCAGCCCCCACCCCCCCACUGGCUGCCCUCGCCCGAGAGCUGCCAGCCAAAUGUUAAGAAAUCAGCUUGCCGUGUGAAACAGUACAGGUUCAUGAUUACUGUAAAGAGCUGUUUGUGCUUUCAUACAGUCUGUACAGUUUUUAAUGUUUCCUUGACAUGUAUUUUAAGUAAAUAUUUCUGAAGUGAAAUAAAAAAGAGAAGAAUUUU